GCACCAGUAGCUCAAUGGAUAGAGCAUUUGACUUCGGAUCAAAGGGUUGCGGGUUCAACUCCUGCCUGGUGCG
rnacentral:tRNA from 1 species